rnacentral:misc_RNA from 1 species
GUGAAUCAUCGAAUCUUUGAACGCAAAUUGCACUCUCCGGUUUUCCGGGAGAGUAUGCCUGUUUGAGGGUCAGCCUAAAAAAAAAUCGACAUUGUUGCUGUUAUUUAAUGGUUACUUUCGUCGGAGAUUGGGUUAUCUUAAACCUUUUUUUUUUUUUGUUUUAAGCGACUUAAAUUUUUUUUUCCCGAUUCCUUUAACUUUUUCAGGAUUUUUUUUUUUUUCCCG